rnacentral:sRNA from 1 species
AGAUUUCAAUUUGGGGGAAGAAGAGAAUAAUUGGGAAUUUUUAUGGAUAAUGAGAUUUUUAAUCGGGCUUUUAACAUAGAUGUUAACUAAUUAAUGUUGAUUUUUUUUUGGUCCAAAAAAACCCAGUCAACUACACAUUGAGGAUUUAAUUUGUUCACAUAUAAAUUGAGGAAUAAAAGUGUCGAUUUCAAAUAGUGGGGGAAUUAAAUGACCAUUUUCCCGGGUUUUGUUACAUGUGUAUAUAUAUAUGUUUAUAUCGUCAUCUUCCCGCAGCCUUCUCAUGUCAUCAUCUCCAGCAACUGAUUACUAACCUAAGAAUAUCAAAUCAACUUGAUCCCAAGUCACCAUCACCAUUGACGUUGAGAUCGGAGUUGUUGGAGCGUAUGGUUUCGUUUUUGAUCACGUACAAGUGUGGAGUGAAAGCGAACGUCACGGAUCAUCACCGUUAAACAACGGCUUGAUUGGGUAAGGAAAACCUAAUCUAUUUAUGCCUUCUUUCUACUGGAAUUGUCUCUCUUAGCCAUUGAAUUUGUAGCAGUUAGAUCAAGUUAGCUUUUGGGUUUUUUGUGUGAAUAUGUGAAAGAAUGAAACAGUUCAAGUAGUGGAAUUGGUGAUCCGUUUCCCGUCACGUCCGAAGGAGUUUGGGCGAGUUCUUAACGAUUCUGAAUAGAUCCCGUUCCCACGUUUUCAGAACAGUUUUCGGAUUCAAAAUCGGAGGUAAGAUCGAUCGGGAAAUCGCGUUUAAAAUUGGUGAUUAAUCACAGUUUUCAGAGCCAUAUUUUUCUAAGUAUCUGAAACUUUGCAGUUUCAGGUAGAGGCUUUAAAGAUCUAUUUCCCGUCGAAUCUGAAGGAAUCAGAUCGUUAAUUUGGUGUCUAUGGAAAGAUCUUGCUUCAAGAAACUUAGAGUAGCUGACAGCUUGUCCAUCGGAUUUAAGCUCCAUCCGUAUUUGACGUUGGAAGUUUGCCCAAAAUCAUCUCAAGUUGCAGAAACCUAAAUAUCAGUUCUGAUGCAUCAUCUUCAGAAGAACGUUGGAGAUUCAUGUAAAGUCUGAUCGGGAUGAAACUUAGUGGAGUUAUUCAUGAUACUACUGGCUACAUAUUCAACCGUGGGAUUAAGUUUCUAACGGUUAGUCUUUGACUUCUGCGUAUGUUUUCGAGACAGAUUUAUAUAGAGUAAAUCAUAACCGAGUUUUAUUGUUUGAUGACGCAAAUGAACUCGGCUUGAGCUGAAGCUUUGUAGGAGCUUUUAUGACUCAUGGAUUCAGGUCCUAAUUGAGGGAGAAUCAAGUUAGAGCUUAUGAUCAUGGUUACAGUAAAGAUUGUCUAAGGGAAAAGAGAAGGAGAAUUGAGUUUUCAUCUUCACUAGGCCAAGGUGAGGGUGGUAUUUGCGAAACAUAUCAUCAUUUUCUUUUGUUAUGCUUCUUGACGCAUGAUAUGUAGGCUUAGAUCUGAUUGUGUAGUAUAAGAUUACAUGAUGAUAUGAUUUUAUGAUUGUUGAGUAUGAUGUGUGAUAAUGUGAUAUUAUGUAUAAUAUAAUAAAUAUGUGUAUGUUAAGUAUGAUUAUGAGUAUGUAUGUAUGAUGAAUGUAAGACUGGGGAGAAUCGAGCUAUGGGCCGUGGUCUCCCUAGUGAUGUGGACAGUGAUGGACCGACGGGUUAACAGCUGGUCAAGAACGGCUGACAAGCCCAGAAUGGGAGUGUCUGAGCCACGAGGGCCAGCCUCCACUUAUGAGGUUCUAGUUGUCACGAGGAUGACUGGACCUUACGAUGUGUAUGUUUAUAUAUAUAUAUAUAUAAGAUGAUUGUUAUGAAUUUGUUGUUAGAAGUUAAACCACGUGAGGUUGAUUGCGUGUGUCUAAGUUUAUAUGUUAUGAUGAUGGUUGUAUAGCUUUAGAAAGUGUUCUACGUUUCAGUGGGCAGAGUUGAUUCCCCUCACUGAGUAUUCUUUACUCACCCUUUUUUUUUCCUUUUUUCCUCAGGUUAGUAAGCGUGAGGAAUUGUGUGCAAUAUUUUGUUCGUGUGUGAAAUUAAAA